rnacentral:rRNA from 1 species
GAUGAACGCUAGCGGAAGGCUUAAUACAUGCAAGUCGAGCGGUAGUUCCCUUCGGGGGAUGAGAGCGGCGCACGGGUGAGUAACGCGUACAUGACCUGCCUGUCAGAAGGGGAUAGCCCUGGGAAACUGGGAUUAAUACCCUAUGGUAUUGAUAUUAUGAAUGAUAUCAAUUAAAGUUGAGGCGCUGACAGAUGGAUGUGCGUCUGAUUAGCUAGUUGGUAGGGUAACGGCCUACCAAGGCGACGAUCAGUAGGGGGCGUGAGAGCGUGGUCCCCCACACGGGUACUGAGACACGGACCCGACUCCUACGGGAGGCAGCAGUAAGGAAUAUUGGUCAAUGCCCGCAAGGGUGAACCAGCCAUUCCGCGUGGAGGAUGAAGGCCCUAUGGGUUGUAAACUUCUUUUAGACGGGAAGAAAAUGCUAGAUGUAUCUGGUACUGACGGUACCAUCAGAAUAAGCACCGGCUAACUCCGUGCCAGCCGCCGCAGUAAGAC